AUAGAUUUAGUUAAAGAAAAUAACAUUAAUCUGUCAAAUUAAAAUUAUUUUUAAAAAUAAUCUGUU
rnacentral:tRNA from 1 species